ensembl:lncRNA
CCCUUUGUUCUUUCUGUACCUCCAUUACCACCCACGCCUGAAAAUGGUUUGGGGCAGCACUUAAGAAACGCUUCACAAGACUCCAUUUCAGGCAGUUUUCAAAAGAAAAUAAUAUAUACAUAAACAGACUUGGCGGUUUGGACAGAGGUCCCCUGCCUAUUCACCGCCCUAUGUGAAAAAGCUCUUUGUAAAGGGCACUGGGAGAGAGGGUAGCUGGUGGGGGUGGCUUCAGACAAAAUUCUUGUCUUCAUUUUGCUGUUGUUUUUCAUCUCCACCCCCAUAUGUUUCUCACCACACCCUGAGCUGACUGCUUUCUUGCCCCAGGAAAUUGUCCAUCACAAAACAGAGAAGAAUGGGAGCACUUUAGAAAUGUAAAUUUACGGACAUGUUUCCAAGGCUGUGGCGAACUAGAAGACGUUCUCAGCUCCUGCUUCUCAUGAGUCAGUUUAAGGUUCAUCUUAAGGUGGCUGGGUCGAGCAAAUAAAAACACAAGAGCACUUUAUUAUAGUUACAGCUUGAUCACCUCGACUCUUCUGAAAACCAUGCAAGAGAGUUUACGAGUCCGCAUUCAACAGACGUAAAUACUGAGACCCGAAGAUGAUUCUCGAUCCAGGACCGUUACUACACUUGUCUACAAAGAAAUGUUAAUAUCAAUGUUUCUAUUAAACCCAGAUGUAGCCUCUAAUUUAUAAUAAGCAUUGUAAACCAGUGCUUCUCAAAUGCUAAUGUGCAUACAAAUCCCUGGGGUCUUGAUAACAAGCAGACUGAUCCAGCAGGUCCGAGUGGAGACACUGGUGGGUGGAGACAAGCUCCAGGUGAUGUGAUGCUGCCUGACCAUGGACCUUGGGCAUCAAGGAACUCAACCUGACCUCGGUGGCUUUGGCUGUGUCAGCUCUGACAUUUAUUGGAUUCAGCGUUCUCUGCUGUGGCGUCGUUUUCAUCAUUCCCCUACGUUACAAAGCACUUAGCAAACACAGUGGCUGAAAAAAUGGACUGAGAGUUCUGUGCUUUGGCACUGUUUAUCUCCAUUAACAAAUGGGAAACAGUGCUUUGGAAAAAUGUGGGUUUUUUCUCAUUGUACUCUAAGUCAUCUUCUAAAAGCUAAAUGUAAGUGAUACAUAGGCUCAACAUUUCAGCCUUCAUAGUUUUAAUUCAGAGGCUUACCUGUGGGACUUGAUUGAGUGGCAACACUGGUAUGCAAAGGAAAAUAUCUACAAAGUUAGCAUUGCUUCAUAUCUUCAGUAUCUUUACUUCUUCAUUUGAACACAGAUGUGUGGAAAACUCACAAUUUUUACUUCGCAAAAGUAACCAAUCCGUGUUUUGUUGGUGGUGGGAUUUUUCUUGUUUUUUUAAUUUGGUCUGGUUUUUUGGUUUUUUAAAGUUAUUCACUCUUACCUUUAAGAUAAAUACUUUUCUUGGCUUGUGUCAGAAAAAAAUGACCAACUUUCCAAAGAUGAAUUCCAACCUAAGAACGCAGGCAGCUCUUGACGUCAAAAUCGAGACGUCAAAGAGGAGAGCAGUGUUUGUUUGGAAAAAGAUCUGCCAGUUGACAGUGUCCUGAAAAUCAGCCUCUUACAGUUCCCAAGAGGACUGACAGAAGAGUUUUCAAAGGUCUCCAAAACUGUCUGCUCUUUGUUUGGGGGAAAAAGAGAAAAGAAUGAGAAACAUCACCCCUUUGACACACAUACACACUCAAACACACCUACACUCACUGUGGUGUGAGCGUGUUCUCGUUCUUUGUUUUUGGAAAGUUACCACAUUUUUCAGCAAUGACAGAGAAUAAUGGUGUCUCCUUACCCUUGCACAAACCAUCACGUUAAUGUUUGUGACAGAUUAUUGCACAAAUGACCCCAGUCCUCCACUCCUCCCUAUGUCUCUGGUGGUGCCAUCCCACACUGACUCUGUGUGGGAGGAAUGAGACUUGUUUUGGCCAAUAGGAGAGCAGCAAACUUGAUGCAAGCAGAAGCUUGUAAAAGUAUG